AACUGACCAAGGCAGAAGCAAGUCAUUAGCUGAGAGGCUGGCCCUACUGAGAAGACGCUGAGGGAAGCAGCUUUUAUGGACCGAGGCAAACAGCAUUCCAUGUGGACGGACAUGCUGAGCAUUCUGUGCAUGUGGACAAGCUGCGGCCUAUGACAUCAUGUGUCCACAGUUGCCUUGAUAUAAUCUGGAACAGGACUGGAAAAAAUACAUGAGGAAAAAGAUCAUCACUGGAACAAGCUCAUUAAUCACAGAUCCAAUUACACUAAUAACCUGGCAGCGAAACCUCAUCAGAGUUAGUUUGGGCCAGCCUAGCAGAUCCACCAAGCCAUCUCCCCAGGGACCAGCUUCAUUCUGUUGACACAGGGUCUUGAAACUCAGCUCAGACAGACCUGAAAUGUAGCCCAGGCUAGAUUCAAACUCAGGAUCAUCC